rnacentral:rRNA from 1 species
UACGUAGGCAGCAAGCGUUGUUCGGAAUUACUGGGCGUAAAGAGUGUGUAGGUGGUGUCGUAAGUUUGGUGUGAAAUCUCCCGGCUUAACUGGGAGGGUGCGCCGAAGACUGCGAUGCUGGAGUAUGGGAGAGGAAAGCGGAAUUCCUGGUGUAGCGGUGAAAUGCGCAGAUAUCAGGAGGAACACCUGCGGUGUAGACGGCUUUCUGGACCAUUACUGACACUGAGACACGAAAGCGUGGGUAGCAAACAGG